rnacentral:rRNA from 1 species
AGUCCACGCCCUAAACGAUGUCUACUAGUUGUCGGGUUUUAAUUAACUUGGUAACGCAGCUAACGCGUGAAGUAGACCGCCUGGGGAGUACGGUCGCAAGAUUAAAACUCAAAGGAAUUGACGGGGACCCGCACAAGCGGUGGAUGAUGUGGAUUAAUUCGAUGCAACGCGAAAAACCUUACCUACCCUUGACAUGUACGGAAGACCGAAGAGAUUUGGUUGUGCUCGAAAGAGAACCGUAACACAGGUGCUGCAUGGCUGUCGUCAGCUCGUGUCGUGAGAUGUUGGGUUAAGUCCCGCAACGAGCGCAACCCUUGUCAUUAGUUGCUACAUUUAGUUGAGCACUCUAAUGAGACUGCCGGUGACAAACCGGAGGAAGGUGGGGAUGACGUCAAGUCCUCAUGGCCCUUAUGGGUAGGGCUUCACGCGUCAUACAAUGGUACAUACAGAGGGCCGCCAACCCGCGAGGGGGAGCUAAUCCCAGAAAGUGUAUCGUAGUCCGGAUCGCAGUCUGCAACUCGACUGCGUGAAGUUGGAAUCGCUAGUAAUCGCGGAUCAGCAUGUCGCGGUGAAUACGUUCCCGGGUCUUGUACACACCGCCCGUCACACCAUGGGAGCGGGUUUUACCAGAAGUAGGUAGCUUAACCGCAAGGAGGGCGC